AGAGAACACUUGGAAAACCCGAUAAAGCUCCAGGCAUGGCUUUUGCUAGCUCAAAGACCCCUAGGGCAACAGCAAAGGCACCUCCUGUCACAGCGAGAAAUGGGGUUGAUCGGAUACCUCCUGUUUCCUGCAAUACUUGUUAAUGCUGCCUCAGAUAAGGCCUCCUGCUUCAACAAGCAAUGGGUCCGUUGGUGGUAGCAAGCAAAGGCCCCAAGUCACCCUGAAAGAGCGUGCAGCUAGAAGAGUGGUAUGUUACAUGCUUGUAAUUCCAAAAUAUCCAUGAACUUUCUGUAGUUUAGCUGUCUACCCCUAACUAGAGGUUUAGGAUUUGUGGGAUGCUUGCUACAUUCACCAGGAUGCUAUAAUUGUAGUGAACCAUUUCUUGCAUUUACCGAUAAUUAGCUUACUUGUGAAACCUUAUUGCGGAACUGCACAGAACUAAUUAAAAAAGCUCCAGUUAGAUAAUUUUGUUAUCUUUUAGGGGAACAAAGCUGGCCACUUGCUUGUAUAAGGGCACUGGAACGGCAGGUGGGACUUGACUGUUUAGUCGGUGCUACUGGCAUUGCUUGGUGGAAGGGCAUAUGUAAAAAAAUGUUUUCGCUUCUCCAACGUAUGGCGGAGGGCAUUUUGUAGAUAAGAUAUACCAGUAGCAAGUAAUUUGUGCUGUAGUCUUAACAAGGGUGACGUGGCAUACGGUAUGGGUGCCAACAGAAAGCGACCACAUCCGCAACGCAAGACCGCAACCGAGUUGCUUUUGCUGGCUGCCCCAAGCUUGGUCUCGAUUCUGGGAAAUACUUACUACGUAGCCGACUGGCCGUGCCUUAGAGACAAAGGCAGAGAAAGAGAUGAGCGUCACCUUAGCCGCGUGAGCAAAUCACACGGACGGAACCACAAAAUCACGGUAGCUACCGGCAGGCUUACGCCGCUGAUCCGGACCGGAGGCAACCACAACCUCACCUUGGGGCUGCCCCAACCCUGUGCACUCGAUUUAUAAGUGUCCCAUCUCAGCCAUGAAGUGUGCAACACCAUCCGUUGAUCUUUGGACACGGACAAAGCAAUCUCGUUGGAUCCCAUGCAGAAGACUCUUCGUCUCCUCCAUCAUGCCAGCCAACGAAGAUCACUUGGUACUCCUGUUUGAGAGAGCAUCCACUACUUUGCAAUCUAGUUCAAUGAUCAAUGACAUGUCCGUCCGCUGCACCGUCAGGGCAUACCCUCCAGACACGCUGCAAUUUCUACCUCCAUCUGGGAUCUAUAUGAGUGAAGGAAACUGACACUUGAGAAAAUGAUGGCUCAUGUGUCGUUCCUUAAAACCAUGUCAGCUCUAGUGCUUUGGUCGACAUCGUCUGAACUGUCCACAUUUAACAUAGACCAUCCCGAGUCAGGUUUGUUUCAGGGUAAUCCUGCUACCCCAGUUGUGGAAGAGCUGGGCAUUUCGUUUGCCAACCUGCAACAUACUCUAUAGUGGAAAUGAUUGGUUAAAUGCCAAAAUGUGGCACACUCAUAUUUAGUGAAGCCAAAAAGUUAACUAUUGAUUGGUUGAUGACCAAAAGUGUAUAGUACAUCGUCUAUCCCUUGAAGGGACAAGAAUAAUGAGUUUUUCGAUGAA